CGACCCUGUGCGGGAGAGUCCUCCGGAUCGUGCGGAGGCGCCGAAGGAGCAACUCCUCCCCGGAAUCUCUCAGGCUCACGUACCGCACGGGCGAG
rnacentral:ncRNA from 1 species